UACGGAGGGUGCAAGCGUUAUCCGGAUUCACUGGGUUUAAAGGGUGCGUAGGUGGGUUGGUAAGUCAGUGGUGAAAUCCCCGGGCCUAACCUGGGAACUGCAUUUGUGACUGCAUGGCUAGAGUUUGUCAGAGGGGGGUGGAAUUCCACGUGUAGCAGUGAAAUGCGUAGAUAUGUGGAGGAACACCGAUGGCGAAGGCAGCCCCCUGGGAUGUGACUGACGCUCAUGUACGAAAGCGUGGGGAGCAAACAGG
rnacentral:rRNA from 1 species